CUAAAUUGAGCCCAGAAAACACUUCCAAUAGCAAGACAACACGUGGAGUAACUGACGAAAUACCCGGCCCAAGUGGAUCCCACCCACAAAAGCUUUUGGCGGGUCUUUCACAACAAACAAAUUCAAAUAAGCAGUCUUUUAGCCAAUCCCUAGGUCACCCCCGCCCAAAAAAUCUUUCCCUCCAAUCCAUCAGUGGUUCCUUCUCCAUUUGCUAGGGUUUAUGCUUCUCUCUCUUCAGGUUCGUAAUUUCUUACUCUUCAUUGUUGUUUUGUUUGGUUUUGUGUAUGUGUGUUUCUGAAUUUAUUGUACUUGAAUUUUUGGGGUUUAGCUGUUAAUUUUGACUGUUUAUAUGUAGUUAAGUCGUAUCAAGUUAAUUAUUGAGGAAUUCGUGCCUAGCCUUUGUAAGAAUUCAUCAGCGAGUUAUUUGAAAAGCAUCAAAUUUCUUGUAGUUUCAUAAUUUGUGGCUUCAUGUGAAUUUAGGUUGCAUUUGGUACUUUGUGAAAUCAUUUUCUCUAUCAGUUUCAUGUAUGGCUUGUUAUGAAAAAAGGCAACAUAUGGUUGUUGUACGAGGUGUGAUAUGGUAUAAAAAUAGCUCUUGGUGAUACUCUUAAUGUCUGAAUACAACAACAUACCCGGCGUAGUCCUAUAAAGUGGGUAUGGGAAGGAUAGAGUGUACGCAUACCUUACCAUACCUCAGAGUUAGUUAGGUUGUUUCCGAUAGACCCUCAGCUUAAGGAAAAAACAGUCCAGAAAAAGAAGUAAUGAAAGUAUAAGAAACAACCAAUAGUAAUAUGAACAACAGAUUGUAGCAGUACAAUACUAUGAUAAAAUGAUCCUAUAGUUGAAGUACAAGAAAAAUCAGAUUGUAACAAAAAUUCGAAGUACAAGAAACUACACGUGUAAUACUACAACUACUAGUAUGGACGGACAACAAGACAAUGCACUCCUAAUAUGGAUAGUUUGAGGUAUUUUUAAAGAGAAAUGACUUCGUACAAUAUAUAAUUGAAGUCAGUUUACCCUUUUAUUAAUAAUGGACUGUAUUUUCCUUGUAGAAAACAUUUUAAACUAUUCAAAUUUCAAGGAUAGUGAAGCAUUGUAAAAUUAUUUCUUGUGGCUAUAUUUUUGUAUACAAAUUGCUCUGGAAGUUGGAAUGUUUUCCUGUUUUGAUAAGUUAUUUCCUUUUAUCCUUUUCACUUUUUCAGGUUAAUAUGGAAUGAAAUCUGGGUCAAAUUUAAUCUUAAAUUGGAUACAUUAGUUUGGGAGUUAGUGAACCUUGAGGGUAAAGGUGAUCCCUAAACCUAAUUUCCUGCCAAGUGAGAAAACAGAAAUAGU
rnacentral:lncRNA from 1 species